CCUUUAAAUCCUCCACCCAUGGGUUAAGUAGUUUGAACGUGCAAGCCCUUUUCAUACCAGGAAGUCUCUGUUUCACUCUGGACUCUGCUGCUCUGUGGUCGUCAUCCUCCUGUUAAACAUGGCUUAUUUAAGAAUCCUUGUUUUUGUUUCUACUUUCUGAGUUAACAGUCUCAGAGUCUCAGGAUGAAAAGUUUUCAGGACGAGUUCAGAGUGACGAAGACGCCCUCAGAGAAGGACGAAUCAGACUCCAGCUGUGCAGACUCAGGACUGAGGACUCGGGUCAAUACAGAUGUCAAGUAAACACAGAUUAUGGUCUCAGAUCUGCGAGUUGUAGACUCAACGUCACUGCAGCUGCUGAUCAGCUCCAACCUCAGAGACCAACUUCACCACCCCAAGAAGAAGAGAGAGACUGGAAGAAUAUUUUAAUUGUCCUGACAGCAGCAGCAGCAUUAGUAGCUCUGCUGAUGUGCGCUUUACUUUGGACUGUGUUCAGAAAAAAGUGCUAAACUUCAGCUGUAAACAUCCAUAAACUCUCAGGGACAGAGUCACUCAACCAAGAUACUUACUGCCUUUGACGUCUAUUUUAAGUAUAAAAAGUUACAUGUCGAUAUGAACUGUGUAAAUGAACUGGUUCUUAUGCUUUUGUAAUUGACCUGAGCAUUUAAAAUGCUUUAUAUAACUUUCCUCAUCCACACACAUUCAUACAAGAACCUGUUUGUAUGUCUU
ensembl:lncRNA